UACGUAGGUGGCGAGCGUUGUCCGGAUUUACUGGGCGUAAAGGGAGCGUAGGCGGUUUUUUAAGUGGGGUGUGAAAUCCCUGGGCUUAACCCAGGAAUUGCAUUCCAAACUGGAAGGCUAGAGUGCAGGAGAGGAAAGUGGAAUUCCAAGUGUAGCGGUGAAAUGCGUAGAGAUUUGGAGGAACACCAGUGGCGAAGGCGACUUUCUGGACUGUAACUGACGCUGAGGCUCGAGAGCGUGGGGAGCAAACAGG
rnacentral:rRNA from 1 species